GGAUCGUUAGCUUAGCAGGAGAUCAGCGGACUCUUAAUCCGUAGGUCGAGUGUUCGAGUCACUCACGCCCCA
rnacentral:tRNA from 1 species